UGUAGUUAAGUGAUUGCAAAGCAAUGCUGCAAUUUAGUCAUUAUUUCAACCUGUUUUUUUCAAUUUGUUGUUAUUAUUUUUAUUGAAUCUAUUCAUAUACAUGUAAAACAGAUAUAUACCCGGUCACAAUUUCGGUCUGAGUUGAAUGUAAUUUCCAAAACGGUGCUGCCAAGAUGUAGACACAAAAUAUACUAAUAUAUUUCGUGUAAUUACAAAAUCCCGCGAUAGUAUAGAUUAUCUCGCGAGAUCUCGCUUUCCGGAAGUUCCCUUCCGGAAGUUCCGGUAUAUUGAGCAGGCAACCACGAGGAGGAGAGGACUCGAAGAGGACUGAGAUGUAUCGAUAUAAAUUAUAUAAAAUCUACUGUUGUAUGCUGUGAAGAGGUGGAGACUCUGAAUGGGAUGCAGCAAUGACAGAACACCUGAAGCUCGCUCCAGGAAGAGAUGGGGGUGGAGGUUACAAGAAAUGAGCCAAACAACUGUAGUUUGUUUUUAAGGGAUAAGCCAUCCAAAAAUGAAAAUAGUCAUAAUUUUCUCACCCUCAUGUUACAAUCAUAAUAAUUUUUCCUACAGUGGCAGUUAAUGGAUUGUGAGAUCUGCUUGGUUACAAUAUUUCAAUAUUUCUUCCAAAUAUAUUUGUGUUUAUAAGACAACUGUGUAAGUCAAUGACAAGAUUAAUAAAGAAUUGAUAAAAAGAAACCAUCUUUUAACAUUCUAGUAGAAAACAUUCUCAGAAAUGUAAUAUUUUAAUUCAUGUCGGUUCUAUACAGUUUAAAAUCAUUUACACCACUUUGAUUUCAUAAAUAGAAAUGAUUUCAAACAUAUUUUAUGAUGAGGGUCUUAUGUUUUAUGAUUUUCUUGUCACAUGACAACAAUGGCUCCUGCAAGGUGUUUAUGCCACAUGUUCAAAUAUUAAUAAUAUUCUUAAUAUUAUAUGAUUAAAGUAUUUUAAAAUAAAUGCAAUUAAUAUUGAUUUAUAAUAUAAUAUAUAAAAAACAUUAAUAAACAAACACUGUGCAAAUAUAAAUUUUUAACAAUAAUAAUGGACUUUAAGAUUGAGUAUUUCAGCACUUUUUAUUCAGUGAUGCCCCUCAUUAAAUCAUAUUUCUGAAGAAAAAAAUGGUAGGCCUGUAAACUUAUUUCAGAAAUCCAAAAUGGAUACAAAGAUAACAUUGAAAAACACAUUUUUAAAUAGAUUAUCAUCUUGAAGAUUAUUAUUUGUCAUUGUCCCAGUAAAGCAAACAUGAAAACAAUAUCGUCAGAACACAGAAAGGUAUACAGGUUUGAAACAUGAGGGUGAGUAAAUGAAAGAAUUUUCCCUUUAUAUAAUUCAGUAUUUUGUAAUUAGUAUUUUAGUUUGGUUAACAGAUGCUAAACUGUUCAAAAACAAAUUAACAAUAAAAUGUGCUCAAUCAGAA